rnacentral:rRNA from 1 species
UGAGGAAUAUUGGACAAUGGGCGCAAGCCUGAUCCAGCCAUGCCGCGUGCAGGAUGACGGUCCUAUGGAUUGUAAACUGCUUUUGUACAGGAAGAAACAGUUCUACGUGUAGAACCUUGACGGUACUGUAAGAAUAAGGAUCGGCUAACUCCGUGCCAGCAGCCGCGGUAAUACGGAGGAUCCAAGCGUUAUCCGGAAUCAUUGGGUUUAAAGGGUCCGUAGGCGGUUAGAUAAGUCAGUGGUGAAAGCCCAUCGCUCAACGGUGGAACGGCCAUUGAUACUGAUGUUCUUGAGUACAGAUGGGGUAGGCGGAAUGUAUCAUGUAGCGGUGAAAUGCUUAGAUAUGAUACAGAACACCAAUCGCGAAGGCAGCUUACCAAACUGUUACUGACACUGAGGCACGAAAGCAUGGGUAGCGAACAGGAUUAGAUACCCACGUAGUCCCUGAGCGGGCUGGCAAGGCGCAU